rnacentral:misc_RNA from 1 species
UCUCCGUUGGUGAACCAGCGGAGGGAUCAUUACCGAGUAUCUACUCAUAACCCUUUGUGAACCAUAUUGUUGCUUCGGCGGCUCGUUCUGCGAGCCCGCCGGUCCAUCAGUCUCUCUGUUUAUACCAACGAUACUUCUGAGUGUUCUUAGCGAACUAUUAAAACUUUUAACAACGGAUCUCUUGGCUCUA